CAUUUCCUAUUACCCCAGUGCAGGCCAGUUUGUGAUGUUAGAUAGUAGUUGUAUAAUAUAUAUGCUAGACAAGGUUUUGUACUCCUGAUUCUAAUGUUUCGUUCCUCAUGCCUGAAUUCAGGAAAAUCAGCCAAGAUACACAACAAACAUAUUAGCCGUAGCUAGCUGCUAUGUGCACAUGUGCAAAAACAAACAUAUUAAUCCUUUGCCGCAGACAAUACUGAAGCACUAACACAAACAAGAUCCUUUUGAAGAUAGUCUCUGAAUGCAAAUGAUCAUGACUUAUGAAUUUGGAGCCAUGGCCCACGUGUAGGCAAGGGCAAUGAUCCAUUUUACUACUUGAGCGGUCCAACAGAGAUUAUUGAAGGUUGUUUCUGAAGUUGUGAUUGACUAGAACCAAAGGAAAGUUGGAGACUUUUUUGGUGUGAAUUGCUUGGAUUAAGUGGGAGUGAAGAUGUUCUUUCUGUCUAUAUCUGGUUCUAUUAUUGGCAAAUUUGUGCCUUCGAGAUUGCUACGAGUGUUUGUGUUCCCGAGCUGAAAAUUUAGAUUAUUACCAUGUUUGGUCUCCUGAAUAUAAAUCAUGAUUCUUUGCAUCUCAAUUGCAGACCAGCGGACCUUUCCGUCCUCAUAUUCCCCGGAUUCAUUUUCUGCGAUCGAGCGCCCGAGCGGUUGCAUCUCGACGGCAGUUCCCUUUACAACCGAGUUAGCUUUAUACUAUGAGCAGUGAGCAAGUCAUGUAUAAAGCAAAAACAAAGUAUUAGUCUGCUAUCAAAUGGUACAUUUAUUUGAACUCUAAGGGCAGGUUCAGGGUCUCAUGAAGAGGGCAUGUGUUUGUAUUAGAUCAGAAGGUUUUGCAGUUGACAAGCUUACAGGUUUGAGCACCCCGAACAACGGGGUGGGCCCUUUGACCUGUGAGUUUUGCUGGUACCAAGAGAAGGAGGUUCCUUUUAACCUGCAGGAGCUCUGCCAAUGGCAGGGUGCUUUCCUUGACAAUGACGUGGUACUGCACGUACGCAAGAUGCAGCGAGUGAAAUCGGCGCAAGAGGGCAUCUUGCAAGCAGCACCAAAUCCUAUAUUAUGGGACCGAGUCAAAUGUGGCUCGGUGAUAGAAUUAAGCAUGAAGGAGGAAGAUACCAGCACCAGCACGAGCAAUAAAGACUGCGGCAACGGCGACAACAGUGUGUCCCGGCGAGCGUGAGCAAUGGCAGCAUCAUCUCUGACUCCGAGUACCUGACCAAGACGCUGCCCAGGUCACAUGUCAAGGACUUCCUCUUGGACGAUGCCGCCCCCUUGGCUGUUGUUGUCGUCUCCUCAAAUAAGUCGUAUCAGGUAGAGCUGAGGAUUAAGGAUUAAGUAUAAACGUAAUGGAGCCCGUUGUAUAACAACACAGAGCCGAAGGAGAUGCUAUUUUAUUGUUGCCUUAUCUUUGUCAAUGCAGUCGAAUAUGGGUCUAUUCUGGUGCCCUGUCUUCAUCGUAGCGUGUGUAUGUAACAUGGGGGCGGCCGUGAGUAUAGAUCGUCUAGACUACUUUUUCUGGGCUACUAAAAUAUACGAAGAGACAUCAAGGUCAGAAAUCAAUUAGGGAGGCACUAACAUUAUGCCUUGAUUCAGAUGUUGUAAAAAAAUGCCUUGAUUCAGAUGGUUCCGUCGAUUUUUUGCA